CCGCCAUUUUUUUUUCGAGCACUGAUUGAAAGCGUAUCGUUAUCCGUAUCCGUACGGCGUAUUUUCCUUCCUCAAAUUUUCUUCAUAAAAAUGUAAUUUGUGUGGUAACCUAGCCUAUAAUUUCUACUUGGAAAUUCCAGCUGAUCAUGUGGCCUGAGCAGAACCUGAGCAUCUGUACAUUUUGCCAAGAUGUCGUCUCUUUUUCCUGUACCGGCUGUUUGUAAGAAUCACUUCAGAACAAAUCAGUCUGGGAAAGUCUGAGCUUCGUCGUUGCUGCCAAUGUACACAUGGAUUUAAUGCAGCCAGGUGUUCCUCUUGCUACCUGUACUGCUGUGUGUUUCGUCAAAUGAAGAAACAUGAACAACUGAAGUUUAUCGUGUUUGUUCGCGUUGUUGGCUUGUUGCUGUCCGCUGUGGUACGUUGUUUCAGCCUCUGCUGGUGAUAGAUCUUUCUGCAUCAAAUUCAAUUAGCCGUUCCUUGGUGCUGGACUGCUGGUGUCGUGGUACCGAAAUCGCAUCAUUAUUUUGUUAAAUUGUCAUCGUGACUGCAGUUUACCGUUAAUAAGUUAAGAAGCAACAAAAACAAAUAUGGGAUGUCUAUGUCAACAAAUAAUAAACAUGUUUUCGGGAUUGGGAAAGGAAAGUGGAGGAUGUUGGAGAGGGGGAGGAUAUUUCAAGUUUGGAUAAAAAAUCAGUUAAUCUAUAACCCUACAAAUGUUGCCCUACCAAUUAAUCUCCAAACCCCACAAACAUAUACCUUCCAAUCCUUCAAACCCCGAAAACAUACACCACUAACCCUUAAAUUUAUACCCUUAACCCUAUAAACCAAUGUUAAACCUUAACCAUGUAAUAUCUGUAAUAAAUAAAAAUAAAUAUAUUAUAUGAACCAA
rnacentral:lncRNA from 1 species